GAAGGGUGCAAGCGUUAAUCGGAAUUACUGGGCGUAAAGCGCGCGUAGGUGGUUUGUUAAGUUGAAUGUGAAAGCCCCGGGCUCAACCUGGGAACUGCAUCCAAAACUGGCAAGCUAGAGUAUGGCAGAGGGUGGUGGAAUUUCCUGUGUAGCGGUGAAAUGCGUAGAUAUAGGAAGGAACACCAGUGGCGAAGGCGACCACCUGGGCUAAUACUGACACUGAGGUGCGAAAGCGUGGGGAGCAAACAGGUUUAGAUACCCUGGUAGUCCACGCCGUAAACGAUGUCGACUAGCCGUUGGGAUCCUUGAGAUCUUAGUGGCGCASSUAACGCAUUAAGUCGACCGCCUGGGGAGUACGGCCGCAAGGUUA
rnacentral:rRNA from 1 species